rnacentral:rRNA from 1 species
UACGUAGGGGGCAAGCGUUAUCCGGAUUUACUGGGUGUAAAGGGAGCGUAGGCGGUGAUGCAAGUCAGAAGUGAAAGCCCGCAGCUCAACUGCGGGACUGCUUUCGAAACUGUAUGACUAGAUUGCAGGAGAGGUAAGUGGAAUUCCUAGUGUAGCGGUGAAAUGCGUAGAUAUUAGGAGGAACACCAGUGGCGAAGGCGGCUUACUGGACUGUAAAUGACGCUGAGGCUCGAAAGCGUGGGGAGCAAACAGG